AUGGGCGCAAGCCUGAUCCCUCCAUGCCGCGUGUGUGAAGAAGGCUCUANGGUUGUAAAGCACUUUCAGUAGGGAGGAAGGCCAGAGUGUUAAUAGCGCUUUGGAUUGACGUUACCUACAGAAGCAGCACCGGCUAACUCCGUGCCAGCAGCCGCGGUAAUACGGAGGGUGCAAGCGUUAAUCGGAAUUACUGGGCGUAAAGCGCGCGUAGGCGGUUUGUUAAGUGUGAUGUGAAAGCCCAGGGCUCAACCUUGGAACUGCAUCACAUACUGGCAAGCUAGAGUACGGUAGAGGGGGGUAGAAUUCCAUGUGUAGCGGUGAAAUGCGUAGAGAUGUGGAGGAAUACCAGUGGCGAAGGCGGCCCCCUGGAUCGAUACUGACGCUGAGGUGCGAAAACCUGGGGAGCAAA
rnacentral:rRNA from 1 species